UAAUACGAAGGGGGCGAGCGUUGUUCGGAAUUACUGGGCGUAAAGGGCGCGUAGGCGGCGCACCAAGUCAGGCGUGAAAGCCCCGGGCUCAACCCGGGAACGGCGCUUGGGACUGGUGCGCUCGAGUUCGGGAGAGGAUGGCGGAAUUCCCAGUGUAGAGGUGAAAUUCGUAGAUAUUGGGAAGAACACCGACGGCGCAGGCAGCCAUCUGGACCGACACUGACGCUGAGGCGCGACAGCGUGGGGAGCAAACAGGAUUAGAUACCCUGGUAGUCCACGCCGUAAACGAUGAGUGCUGGGCGUCGGGGGCCCUAGGCCUUCGGUGCCGCAGCUAACGCGUUAAGCACUCCGCCUGGGGAGUACGGCCGCAAGGUUA
rnacentral:rRNA from 1 species